rnacentral:hammerhead_ribozyme from 1 species
AUUUAGCUGACGAGUUCCAAACAGGACGAAACGCGCGUCCUGGAU